CCCCCCAAAAGUGUCAGAGCACAGGGGAUAGUAGCUUUGUUUCCCUAUCUAGAAGACCCAUACUCACAACAUGGAUAUGAUCAUUACUACGAUCCGGAGAGUGGUUCCGGAUACCUUGCAUGGCGAUUGAAGACCAUACAAAGAAAAACAGCAGAGGAAAGAGGUGCCUCAGUCAGCAAAUCUCCUAAAGUUGGUGGGCCAGGCCGUGAUCGUCAGCCCUUCACCUAUGACAGAGAGCCAUCUGAUGAGGAUGUGGAAGCAGCUAUUGCUGUUUUGAGACACUCUGCUGAUGAAAACACUGUCCGUGAGAAGAUGAAAAUGACCUUCAUAUAUCGGCAAGCAAUGGUCAACGAUGAAGCCAAAUCAUCAGAUGUCUUCUCGGUCUUCCCAAGAUUUCUGGACACACCAGGACUGAUAGAACAAGAUUUCAGACUUCUGUUUGGUGAGGCCACAGCCAACAAAUUCUUGGAGAAGUGGCCAACCACUUUCAAAGCAAAAGUAAUAAAGGAAAGCCAUGGACUUGUAUCCACCACAGAACUCUUGGAUUUGAUGCGCAAUGCUGAGUCAGCUGCUGAAGUUGAGAAUGGCUGGGACAGUGACAUGUCUGCCAUCUUGCUGCUGCUACAUUUGCUACCACCAUCUGCACAAGGUAGAAAGAGGCCGGGAAAGAUGUCUGCAUAUCAAGCUGUAGAUCAGCUCAUCAGAUUUCAAAAGGUUGGAACCAGUGUGCAGCAGCAUCUUGACAACAUCACCCAAAGCAGUCAGCCCUACCUUCUCGCCCAGGGAUCCACACAGAGCAGCAUUCACUCCUACUUCAUUGUGGUUGACAAGCAUGCUCUUCCAUGCAAGGCAACAGGUUCAGUAGGAGCUUUUGACGAAGUCUUUAAAGCCCAUUACGUAUUUGGUACGUCAUACAGUUCUUCCUUGAGCAGCUUUUUCACUUUUGUGCAACCAUCUAUAACAUCGACAUGGGGGAAACAAAGGAGACUCCUAGAGUUGCUGAGUUGCGAGCAAGAAUGGUGCGUUAGUUGAGAUAAAACUAUGAAGUGUUUUCUUUGCAAAAGUGACCAUGGAAGUCCAAACAACCUUGUUAAGCACCUUAAGAUAAUUCAUGGGCUAUGUACAGGCAGGACUCUUUUUCUGAAAUGUGGUCAAGAAGGAUGCUCACGUUCUUUUGGUAGCUUUUCUGGUUUUAGAAAACAUCUUAACAAGUGCCACGGAGAAAGUUUAGUAGAUUCUAUAGAAGAUGAUCUUUCAGACCCUCAAAGUACCGUCAACACCAGUAAUAUUUCUCAUGUUGAAGUGUCGACUGAAUGUUUAGAGGCUGAGUCAGAGUUAUCUUCGCCAUACAUUGUAAAUAGUUGUGCAGCUGUUAUUUCUGAUCUAAAGGCAGCAGGUGUUGGUCAAAGUACAGUAAAUACUGUAGUGAUUUCCAUGGAAGAGAUUGUUCAAGAUAUUCAUCAGCAUGCUAAAGAAACAGUGAUAAAGCAUGUAUUUAGUAAUGAAAGAGAAACAGAAAUGUGCAAGA